rnacentral:rRNA from 1 species
GAUGAACGCUGGCGGCGUGCUUAACACAUGCAAGUCGAACGGAAAGGCCACAGCUUGCUGUGGUACUCGAGUGGCGAACGGGUGAGUAACACGUGGGUGAUCUGCCCUGUACUUCGGGAUAAGCUUGGGAAACUGGGUCUAAUACCGGAUAGGAAUCACAUGUGGGUGUGUGGUUGGAAAGCUUUUGCGGUAUGGGAUGAGCUCGCGGCCUAUCAGCUUGUUGGUGGGGUAAUGGCCUACCAAGGCGUCGACGGGUAGCCGGCCUGAGAGGGUGUACGGCCACAUUGGGACUGAGAUACGGCCCAGACUCCUACGGGAGGCAGCAGUGGGGAAUAUUGCACAAUGGGCGCAAGCCUGAUGCAGCGACGCCGCGUGGGGGAUGACGGCCUUCGGGUUGUAAACUCCUUUCGUCAGGGACGAAGCGAAAGUGACGGUACCUGGAUAAGAAGCACCGGCUAACUACGUGCCAGCAGCCGCGGUAAUACGUAGGGUGCGAGCGUUGUCCGGAAUUACUGGGCGUAAAGAGCUCGUAGGUGGUUUGUCGCGUCGUUUGUGUAAGUCCACGGCUUAACUGUGGGAUGGCAGGCGAUACGGGCAUAACUUGAGUGCUGUAGGGGAGACUGGAAUUCCUGGUGUAGCGGUGAAAUGCGCAGAUAUCAGGAGGAACACCGAUGGCGAAGGCAG